GAUGAACGCUGACAGAAUGCUUAACACAUGCAAGUCGAUUCGAUUUACCUUCGGGUAUUGAGGAUGGCGGACGGGUGAGUAACGCGUAAGGAACUUGCCUCUUGGUCUGGGACAACUGUUGGAAACGACAGCUAAUACCGGAUAUUAUGAGAUUCUCGCAUGGGAAACUUAUGAAAGCUAUAUGCGCCAAGAGAGAGCCUUGCGUUCCAUUAGCUAGUUGGUGGGGUAACGGCCCACCAAGGCGACGAUGGAUAGCCGGCCUGAGAGGGUGAACGGCCACAAGGGGACUGAGACACGGCCCUUACUCCUACGGGAGGCAGCAGUGGGGAAUAUUGGACAAUGGGCCACAAGCCUGAUCCAGCAAUUCUGUGUGCACGAUGAAGGUCUUCGGAUUGUAAAGUGCUUUCAGUUGGGAAGAAGAAAGUGACGGUACCAACAGAAGAAGCGACGGCUAAAUACGUGCCAGCAGCCGCGGUAAUACGUAUGUCGCAAGCGUUAUCCGGAUUUAUUGNGCGUAAAGCGCGUCUAGGCGGAAAAAUAAGUCUGAUGUUAAAAUGCGGGGCUCAACUCCGUAUUGCGUUGGAAACUGUUUUUCUAGAGUACUGGAGANGUGGGCGGAACUACAAGUGUAGAGGUGAAAUUCGUAGANNUUUGUAGGAAUGCCGAUGGAGAAGUCAGCUCACUGNACAGAUACUGACGCUAAAGCGCGAAAGCGUGGGGAGCAAACAGGAUUAGAUACCCUGGUAGUCCACGCCGUAAACNAUGAU
rnacentral:rRNA from 1 species